UACGGAGGGUGCAAGCGUUAAUCGGAAUUACUGGGCGUAAAGCGUGCGCAGGCGGUGAUGUAAGACAGUUGUGAAAUCCCCGGGCUCAACCUGGGAACUGCAUCUGUGACUGCAUCGCUGGAGUACGGCAGAGGGGGAUGGAAUUCCGCGUGUAGCAGUGAAAUGCGUAGAUAUGCGGAGGAACACCGAUGGCGAAGGCAAUCCCCUGGGCCUGUACUGACGCUCAUGCACGAAAGCGUGGGGAGCAAACAGG
rnacentral:rRNA from 1 species